GACGAACGCUGGCGGCGUGCUUAACACAUGCAAGUCGAACGCUGAAGCUCAGCUUUUGUUGGGUGGAUGAGUGGCGAACGGGUGAGUAACACGUGAGUAACCUGCCCCCUUCUUUGGGAUAACGCCCGGAAACGGGUGCUAAUACUGGAUAUUCACUGGUCUUCGCAUGGGGGUUGGUGGAAAGGGUUUUUCUGGUGGGGGAUGGGCUCGCGGCCUAUCAGCUUGUUGGUGGGGUGAUGGCCUACCAAGGCUUUGACGGGUAGCCGGCCUGAGAGGGUGACCGGUCACAUUGGGACUGAGAUACGGCCCAGACUCCUACGGGAGGCAGCAGUGGGGAAUAUUGCACAAUGGGCGCAAGCCUGAUGUAGCGACGCCGCGUGAGGGAUGGAGGCCUUCGGGUUGUGAACCUCUUUCGCUCAUGGUCAAGCCGCAACAAUGGUUGUGGUGAGGGUAGUGGGUAAAGAAGCGCCGGCUAACUACGUG
rnacentral:rRNA from 1 species